UACAGAGGUGGCAAGCGUUGUUCGGAAUUACUGGGCGUAAAGGGCGCGUAGGUGGCCUUCUUAGUCAGACGUGAAAUCCCUGGGCUUAACUCAGGAACUGCGUCUGAUACUGGAAGGCUCGAGUUCGGGAGAGGAAUGUGGAAUUCCGGGUGUAGCGGUGAAAUGCGUAGAUAUCUGGAGGAACACCGGUGGCGAAGGCGGCAUUCUGGACCGAAACUGACACUGAGGCGCGAAAGCCAGGGGAGCAAACGGG
rnacentral:rRNA from 1 species